ensembl:misc_RNA Metazoa_SRP Metazoan signal recognition particle RNA
GCCAGGCGCGGUGGCUCACGCCUGUAAUCCCAGCACUUUGGGAGGCUGAGAUGGGAGGAUGGCUUGAGCCCAGGAGUUCGGGACCAGCCUGGGCAACAUAGCGAAACCCCAUCUUAA